rnacentral:tRNA from 1 species
GUUAAUGUAGCUUAAAUAAAGCAAGGCACUGAAAAUGCCUAGACGGGUUAUAACCCCAUAAACA